UGAUUUUAGGACUAUGAGUUUAAGUUGAGAACUUAUCUUGUAGGUCCUACAGAAGAGGAUAUUUAGGCUCUUGUUCAGCUGAGUUAUUUGUUUGGAUUUUCUCCAAAUCAGGUGAGGCUUUAUUUACGAAAUGUAUGUUUGAGCUAAUAAGCUCGGUUUUAUGUAAAGUUAAAGAUGAUGGUUCAUGCUUAAAAUGUUUUUGCUCUCUAUUGGUUACUGCUUCUACCAGAACAUUGUUGGCUCCGCCAACCAGAACAUUGUUAGCUCUGCUAACCAGAAUUGUGUACGUACACCAGAACCUGUUGUCUCGAGAGAUCGGUGACAACCAGUUGUAGAUAGCAUGCCCAAUAGAUGGCCAGGAAAAUAUGAGCUCAGAUUAUUUUAGUAUGCAUGGAAUGACUCGUCUUUAAAAACAUUCUGUGUUAUACUGUUUAAAGGCAUGAAUUAUCUUUUUCAGUAAAUGAUUUUUAAAAUGUUUUUAAAUGGCUCAACCCACUGAGUACACUAGUACUCAGCCCUGCAAUUGUUUUCAAAACCUUUUGCAGAUUGAGCAGCUAGUGGUGACGUGCGAGGCUGAGGAAGGGUUGUUGCUGUGGAUUCUGAAGAAAUACUGCGUUUACUUCUCCUAAAAUAAAUUCACUUAGUGAAUAUUAUCUGAUGCCU
rnacentral:lncRNA from 1 species